rnacentral:rRNA from 1 species
UUGAUACUAAGCCAUGCGAGUCAUUGUAGCAAUACAAGGCAUACGGCUCAGUAACGCGUAGUCAACCUAACCUAUGGACGGGAAUAACCUCGGGAAACUGAGAAUAAUGCCCGAUAGAACAUUAUAUCUGGAAUGGUUUAUGUUCCAAAUGAUUUAUCGCCGUAGGAUGGGACUGCGGCCUAUCAGUUUGUUGGUGAGGUAAUGGCCCACCAAGACUAUUACAGGUACGGGCUCUGAGAGGAGUAGCCCGGAGAUGGGUACUGAGACACGGACCCAGGCCCUAUGGGGCGCAGCAGGCGAGAAAACUUUGCAAUGUGCGAAAGCACGACAAGGUUAAUCCGAGUGAUUUCUGCUAAAGAAAUCUUUUGUUAGUCCUAGAAACACUAACGAAUAAGGGGUGGGCAAGUUCUGGUGUCAGCCGCCGCGGUAAAACCAGCACCUCAAGUGGUCAGGAUGAUUAUUGGGCCUAAAGCAUCCGUAGCCGGCUCUGUAAGUUUUCGGUUAAAUCUGUACGCUUAACGUACAGGCCGCCGGGAAUACUGCAAAGCUAGGGAGUGGGAGAAGUAGACGGUACUCGGUAGGAAGUGGUAAAAUGCUUUGAUCUAUCGAUGACCACCUGUGGCGAAGGCGGUCUACUAGAACACGUCCGACGGUGAGGGAUGAAAGCUGGGGGAGCAAACCGGAUUAGAUACCCGGGUAGUCCCAGCUGUAAACUAUGCAAACUCAGUGAUGCAUUGGCUUGUGGCCAAUGCAGUGCUGCAGGGAAGCCGUUAAGUUUGCCGCCUGGGAAGUACGUACGCAAGUAUGAAACUUAAAGGAAUUGGCGGGGGAGCACCACAAGGGGUGAAGCCUGCGGUUC